AGGAUGAACGCUGGCGGCGUGCCUAAUACAUGCAAGUCGAACGAGGUGCUUUUGUAGCAAUACGAGAGUAUCCUAGUGGCGAACGGGUGAGUAACGCGUUGGUGACCUACCCCAAAGUGUGGAAUAACAGUCCGAAAGGAUUGCUAAUACCGCAUGUGGUUAUCGGCCUUAGAAACUGAAUAACUAAAGGAGACUAAUUCGUCGUUUAGGGGACGGGACCUGCCGUCCCAUCAGCUUAGGUUGGUGAAGGUAACGGCUCACCGAAGGCGUAACGGACGGGUACGGGACCGUGGAGGACGGGUCCGACCCCCCA
rnacentral:rRNA from 1 species